rnacentral:rRNA from 1 species
CCUACGGGAGGCAGCAGUGGGGAAUAUUGCGCAAUGGGGGAAACCCUGACGCAGCAACGCCGCGUGAGUGAGGAAGGACUUCGGUCUGUAAAGCUCUGUUAAUGUGGAAAAAUGGUAGUUGGUCUAAUAGGCCGAUUAUUUGAUGGUACACAUAGAGGAAGCACCGGCUAACUUCGUGCCAGCAGCCGCGGUAAUACGAAGGGUGCAAGCGUUGUUCGGAUUUAUUGGGCGUAAAGCGCGCGUAGGCGGACCUGUAAGUCAGAUGUGAAAUCUCGGGGCUCAACCUCGAAACUGCGUCUGAAACUGCAGGUCUAGAAUCUCGGAGGGGGAAGGGGAAUUUCGCAUGUAGGGGUAAAAUCCGUAGAUAUGCGAAGGAACACCAGAGGCGAAGGCGCCUUCCUGGACGAGUAUUGACGCUGAGGCGCGAAAGCGUGGGGAUCAAACAGGAUUAGAUACCCUGGUAGUCCACGCUGUAAACUAUGAACACUAGGUAUUGGAGGAUUUGACCCCUUCAGUGCCGUAGCUAACGCGUUAAGUGUUCCGCCUGGGAAGUACGGUCGCAAGCUAAAACUCAAAUGAAUUGACGGCNGAGACGUGCGACGGACGACGACGAGGGAGGAGG